UACAGAGGGGGCGAGCGUUGUUCGGAAUUACUGGGCGUAAAGGGCGCGUAGGCGGCCUGCUAAGUCGAACGUGAAAUCCCUGGGCUCAACCCAGGAACUGCGUCCGAUACUGGUUGGCUUGAAUCCGGGAGAGGGAUGUGGAAUUCCAGGUGUAGCGGUGAAAUGCGUAGAUAUCUGGAGGAACACCGGUGGCGAAGGCGACAUCCUGGACCGGUAUUGACGCUGAGGCGCGAAAAGCCAGGGGGAGCAAACGGG
rnacentral:rRNA from 1 species